CCGUUUCGGUGGUGCCGGAUCGGAACAAUGAGCAUGCGUGAGACGCGCCAACAGCCGCUACUUUAUUUAUUUUUAUGACCUACGACAUUCGUAGGUGCAUACAUUACCGAUAUUGUCUUCGCUCCUGCUCCAUACUUUACUUCAUCGGCUUUGACCGGGUAGCCCUUUCCGGUGGCCAAGAAUACCUCUUGCGUGCCGCGUGCCCGCUCCCAUUGCCUAUCAGGGACUUAACCUUUGGGUUUGGCCACUGCCAAAGCUCUCUUCUCCGCCUUUCAAUUCCGCUUGCCGUAGGUACCUCAUCAGCGGGUGAUUCCGCCGUAGAUAGUCCUCUCGGAAGGUGCAAGGGAUGUGCGUCUGGCUGGAAUUUGGCAGACCCCGGCUGUGCUGCGGGCCAUAGCUAUGCUGUAUCGCUAAGUCUACAAUGUGGCGUCCAGUCCGCUGCAGGGACAUAAUGUCAGCAGCCCCCUCAUUCAUAUGCGCCGAAUCAAACGCUGGGCUUCAGCUUCGACACACAAGUCUUAUGCACCCUACGCUGCCACAAGCUGAGUCCUAUCAGAUUUGUUCACGCCAACGGAAUCCUAUUUAAGCAUUACCGAGGCGUAUUCGAGGCAGACCGAGUGCUACCCCAGCAAGACAGAAUAGUUUCCCAGAAGGACAGAAGCGCAUCCCUUGCAAUCGCCAUCGACAACUAUCUGAAGGACUUUGGCUAUGGCAAACAAGGGAGUGGCUACGCGGACUACCAGACAUUUUUAUGACCUACGACAUUCGUAGGUGCAUACAUUACCGAUAUUGUCUUCGCUCCUGCUCCAUACGUUACUUCAUCGGCUUUGACCGGCAGGUAGCCCUUUCCGGUGGCCAAGAAUACCUCUUGCGUGCCGCGUGCCCGCUCCCAUUGCCUAUCAGGGACUUAACCUUUGGGUUUGGCCACUGCCAAAGCUCUCUUCUCCGCCUUUCAAUUCCGCUUGCCGUAGGUACCUCAUCAGCGGGUGAUUCCGCCGUAGAUAGUCCUCUCGGAAGGUGCAAGGGAUGUGCGUCUGGCUGGAAUUUGGCAGACCCCGGCUGUGCUGCGGGCCAUAGCUAUGCUGUAUCGCUAAGUCUACAAUGUGGCGUCCAGUCCGCUGCAGGGACAUAAUGUCAGCAGCCCCCUCAUUCAUAUGCGCCGAAUCAAACGCUGGGCUUCAGCUUCGACACACAAGUCUUAUGCACCCUACGCUCCGCUGCCACAAGCUGAGUCCUAUCAGAUUUGUUCACGCCAGACGGAAUCCUAUUUAAGCAUUACCGAGGCGUAUUCGAGGCAGACCGAGUGCUACCCCAGCAAGACAGAAUAGUUUCCCAGAAGGACAGAAGCGCAUCCCUUGCAAUCGCCAUCGACAACUAUCUGAAGGACUUUGGCUAUGGCAAACAAGGGAGUGGCUACGCGGACUA
rnacentral:sRNA from 1 species